UGGGUACUUAAAAAAAAAAAAAGUUUUUGUAAAACUGGCAUGCAAAAAUAAAAUAAAAUGAGAAUGGUUAACGUUAUUUAAAUAUCGAUGGCCCCCCCCCCCCAAUUUUGGGUCCAGCUUCAGACCUGGCUUCCCUGCGGGUCUCAGACCCCGGCCCUGCUGCGUCCCCACCCUUUGGUCACCGGCACUCUGAGCGCAGGGCCCCGGCCGCAGAGGCCGCAGAGGCUGCAGAGGCUUACGGGAAGGGCUGGCCCUGCUGUGCACACGGCCCGGUGGUCAGGCUGGGGGACCUGGACUAGCCAGAUCAGGACGGGACAGGACUGGACAGGACAGGGUGCGGGGACCUGAAUGGGACUGGACAGGACCGGACAGGUUCUCUCUCCACUUUGGCUGUCUCCCACGAGCACGCGCAGACUGCAGGGCCCAGGCUCGCCUCUCCCGGUGCUCGCAGUGACCAGGAGCGGUCCAGAGAAGCAAGGAAACUUGUCAAGGGUAUCAUAAGGAUCCUGGAGAUGACCGAACAUAUGUGGGUGGUGUGCACAGGUCACACGAGAACCUCGUGUCACUUUAUGUGAAGGAUGCUGAGGACCUGUGGGUCCUUGGGGCCCUGGAGCUGAUCCCUCAUGGAUCCUAAGGAACAACUACGUAUGCACUCAGGGCUCUGAAACUUGGCGGAUGCUUGGUCCUGAUCAGCGGAUGAACAACUUCUUGGGAUCCCACUGGUGUCCCCGGAUGAGGCCAGAUGUAAUCUCUUGUAUGGACCUGUAGGGACUAGCCCCAGGGAAAGCCACGUCCAGCUUAGUUUUCCUGACCAGCCUUGCCUGUGGCCUGAGUCUCAAAGCUGAGCUGUGUCAUAAACCCUCAUUUGGGCUGGGCGGAGUGCUGGGUCCACAGAGAAGCUCCUGGAGUCACACAGAGCUGUCAUGGUUGAUGUCAUCUGCUUGUGGGGUCUGAGGUGGGGCAACAGGGCUGAGCUCUGGGAUCUGGACAGCCCUGUCCCCACCCCAGUCCCUUAUCUUGGAGGAGCUGGAGAAGCCUAGGAACUGCAGCACACAGCCUCCAAACUGGACAGGUCCACAGUCUCCAGAUCAUGAG
rnacentral:lncRNA from 1 species